UGAAUACGAGACGCUAAGGCGUCGAAGUAGUGUAUGUCAUACUUCCAAGAAAAGCUUGCACUGUCAUAGAUAAAAAACGCCUGUACCAUAACCGACACAGGUGGGUAGGUAGAGUAUACUAAGGGGCGCGAGAUAACUCUCUCUAAGGAACUCGGCAAAAUAACUCCGUAACUUCGGGAGAAGGAGUGCCUUAUUCGUAAGGUUGCAAUAACAAGAUCCAAGCAACUGUUUAUCAAAAACACAGGUCUCCGCUAAGUCGUAAGACGAUGUAUGGGGGCUGACGCCUGCCCAGUGCCAGAAGGUUAAAGAAGUUGGUUAGCAAUUGCGAAGCUGAUAACUGAAGCCCUGGUGAACGGCGGCCGUAACGAUAACGGUCCUAAGGUAGCGAAAUUCCUUGUCGGGUAAGUUCCGACCCGCACGAAAGGCGUAAUGAUUUGGAUACUGUCUCGGAGAGGGGCUCGGUGAAAUAGACUUGUCUGUGAAGAUGCGGACUACCUGCACCAGGACAGAAAGACCCUAUGAAGCUUUACUGUAACUUGAAAUUGAAAUUGGACUUUAUUCGCGCAGUAUAGGUGGGAGGCGUUGAUUAUAAUCUUGUGGGAUUAUUGGAGCCAUCAGUGAGAUACCACUCUUGUAAUGUUAGAUUUCUAACUUUGAAUCAUUAUCUGGUCAAAGAACAGUUUCAGGCGGGCAGUUUGACUGGGGCGGUCGCCUCCUAAACGGUAACGGAGGCGUACAAAGGUUUCCUCUGAACGGUUAGAAAUCGUAUCUAGAGUGUAAAGCCAUAAGGAAGCUUGACUGUGAGACCUACAAGUCGAGCAGGGACGAAAGUCGGUCUUAGUGAUCUGACGGUACUGAGUGGAAAGGCCGUCACUCAACGGAUAAAAGUUACUCUAGGAUAACAGGCUGAUCUCCCCCAAGAGUCCACAUCGACGGGGAGGUUUGGCACCUCGAUGUCGGCUCAUCGCAUCCUGGGGCGGUAGUACGUCCAAGGGUUGGGCUGUUCGCCCAUGAAAGCGGUACGCGAGCUGGGUUCAGAACGUCGUGAGACAGUUCGGUCCAUAUCCGGUGUAGGCGUUAGAAUAUUGAGAGGAGCCUUCUUUAGUACGAGAGGACCGAGAAGGACAUACCUCUGGUGUACCAGUUAUCGUGCCAACGGUAAACGCUGGGUAGCUAUGUAUGGAGUGGAUAACCGCUGAAAGCAUCUAAGUGGGAAGCCCACCUCAAGAUAAGUA
rnacentral:rRNA from 1 species